rnacentral:rRNA from 1 species
CGUGGAGACAGGUGGUGCAUGGCUGUCGUCAGCUCGUGUCGUGAGAUGUUGGGUUAAGUUCCGCAACGAGCGCAACCCUCGUUGAGUGUUGCCAUCAGUUCGGCUGGGCACUCACUCGAGACUGCCAGAGUAAUCUGGAGGAAGGUGGGGAUGACGUCAAGUCCGCAUGCCCCUUACGCCCGGGGCUGCACACAUGCUACAAUGGGGAGCACAAAGGGCAGCGACGCCGCGAGGUGUAGCAAAUCCCAAAAAACCGCUCUCAGUUCGGAUCGGAGUCUGCAACUCGACUCCGUGAAGUUGGAAUCGCUAGUAAUCGCGUAUCAGCACGACGCGGUGAAUACGUUCCCGGGCCUUGUACACACCGCCCGUCACACCACGAAAGCCUGCUGUACUCGAAGUCGCUGAG